GACGUAGGGCGCGAGCGUUGUCCGGAUUUAUUGGGCGUAAAGAGCUCGUAGGCGGCUUGUUGCGUCGUCCGUGAAAUUCCAUGGCUCAACUGUGGGCUUGCGGUCGAUACGGGCAGGCUAGAGUUCGGUAGGGGAGACUGGAAUUCCUGGUGUAGCGGUGAAAUGCGCAGAUAUCAGGAGGAACACCGGUGGCGAAGGCGGGUCUCUGGGCCGAUACUGACGCUGAGGAGCGAAAGCAUGGGGAGCAAACAGG
rnacentral:rRNA from 1 species